UUACACUUUCUCCGAGCAGAUUUAUUUAAGCAUGGUAGGAGAUGUCAAUUCAUACACUCAAAGCAAAUUAGUUUGCUGCCCACUUGUCCUUGUACCCAAAAGCUCCCCCAUUUUCAGGGUCAUUCUUACAGCAACUGCUCCUCUAACUCUAGAUACCUACCCACCAGGGAAAGGAGUCUCCUCUUGGGUCUCCAACUAUUGUCUGCUGUUUCUCAGGACGAAAGAACUCUCUCAGACAACAAAGCAGUUCAAACAGCACGCAAUAGAUUAACGCCGAACACGGAUGGCACAUUACAUAGCGCUCAAAGGAUCAAUACUGCCGUUGCUGAUCCAGUAGCCUUGCUGUGGUCUACAACAUGUAUGUGUGUCUAGAAUUACCGUACUGACCUUUGUACAGAAAAUAGUAUUUCAGAGUGAAAUAUUAUUGAAUUACAGCAUUCUGCAUUGAGUUUACAAGGUCAUAAACACAGAGCUCCGUGUUCUUCACUUGCAAAUGGCUACUAAAUAAGGAAAAUGAGACUUGACAUCCCCCUGACAAUCAGAAGAAAUGAUUUAUUUGGAUGCUAACAUCUGUCUCCAGAUUGUGGCCAAGUGCUUUUCUGUGCUCAUUUAGGACUCCACUUACAAAGCUUUUCAGUUACAUUUACCUAGAGAUUUCUCUCUACCACUUCCCAUCUGACAGAAAUCACUCAGCUGGGUCUGAUGAAUAAUAGCAAAAGGCAGCUUGUAUCAGAGAUGAUUGAAUUACAGAUUGUUGAAAGUGCCAUAAAGGCUCAUUCCAAUGACUACAUUUAAUUUACUUACUAUGCGGACUACUAGAAGCCGAUAGACAUUUGAUAUCUUUAUUUCAGAAGCCUCGAAACAAAAGAAACAUUAACAUUCUCCACCACUUCCUCACUACUCCACCUCGAAGAGUUUGAUAAGCCAAAUUAACUUUUAAACAGAGUGCUGAUGCCGUACCCAGAGCGGGCGAGCAUACAAGGCAGGGCACAAUACCCCAGAAACCAGAGCAAGGCGGGCAGCACACAGAAGGGGAGGGCAACAACGUCCGAGGAACCCCAGAUGAAAUCGCACGGAAAGAAAAAGAAUCGGCUUCAUAGCUAAUGUAUGCUAGAUGUCUUCUCUUCCACAUUUCUGCAACAAAAUGAGGAAGAUCAGAAGAAAAAAUGGGAAUUAAUCAUAAUUGUUGCUGAAAUAAGAAGAUGAUAACCAACAGCCCUCUUCAUUGAUGAAAACAGUAACAUUUUCCAUGGAUGGCUGUUACAGGAAAAAAAAAAACAAAACACCACACUCUGAAAAUACCUUUUGGGAUACAGAUUUGUUUUUUGAGAAUAGAUGAACAGAUACAUCUUUCUCAGCCUCCCCUUGGCUCCAGCCGUCUGACCAUCCUGGUGGCCCUCCACUGACUGGUCUGCUUUACUGUAGUGUUUCUUUAGCUAGAAGUUGUCAUUAGUUUAUUGUUUUGUCAUCAGCUUAUUUCACUGAUUGCUUGAUGUCAUAAAAAUGACGACACUGUAAGACCAUACAAUAUGAAGCAAAUUGUGAAAACAUCUAAGUAACACCACUUCACUGGAAGUGUUCUCUUUUCUGAUUUUUGUCACCUUUGGAGAACGUGAUGUGAUUCUAAAAUUCUAUUGGCAGAAAGACCUUUCCAGCUGCCAGUGGAGAGGAAACUCUAUUUUGGACACAUGCCUCAAGAUUUUUGUAUAUUCAAGGCUGGUAUUUUUUGACUUGUAAGGAAAAGUGACUGUGAAGUUUUAUAAUUUUGAAUGUUAUUUAACAAAGAUAUUAUGUAUCAUGUUCUCUACAGCUUACUUGCUGUAUAUUUGCUAUAUGACUAGGGCAUCAUCUGCAAGUAUUUAUUUUGUAAUUUGUAAACAUAGCUUCCUUUAAUGUUAAUCAUCAUCUGAGCUGUGCUGUCCAAGUUAAAUUUUCUCACACUUUUAAUAUUAGUUAUACAACUUUCUCCUGUAUAAAAAAAUUAUCAAGUAGACAAUGAUUUCAAAUGACAUGUCUUUUCAGUGGCAGGUAAAGUAAUUUCUCUUUACAGUUUAAGAGAGAAACUAGUUCCUUUAGUAGUAAAUGUUACAAUAUAUAAAAAUAAAGGUAUGUACAGAUACUGCUGGUUUAGCAGUCCCUUUGGGGUGUGAAUAUUCAUAGCUGCCUUAGUCACUCUCAAUUAUUUGCUUUUUCUGGCUAUAUUAUUCUGUCUUUAAGUUGUUCAUUUUCUCAAUUCAGAGGAAACACAUUUUUCUUUCCAGUUGCACUAAAUGGUUCUACUUAAACACUCUCCUCAACAGCACAGUCUAUACAAGCAGUAUAAUACAGCAAAGCCUCAUGAGGGAUGAACUACUGCUAUUUUUAUAGGAUGCAAACUGGAUUAAAAUUUGCAAAGAGUCCUGGUAUAAUCCUUACUUAUAAACUUUCAGGGUCUGCCAGAAGAAAAUGGCUUAUUACUGUAUUUCAAAGCUCUCACUUUAACAUAGUACACAGCCAAUAAGAAAUACUAAUUCCCCUAUGAAUCAUAAACAAGAAGCAAACUAUUCCAAAUGAAGCUACUGCAAUGCUUUGUGUUCCAGGUUUUAAAUUUAGCUCAAUCUUGGAACAAUACAAAAGAAUAAUCACUUUUAAGCUUUCGUGGUUAGCUUUUGCUAAAUGUAUAGGUUUCCACAGGAUUAAUUUUACAUUGGGAAGAAACUUUAAUCAGCAAUUACAUUCCUUAAUAUUGCUUUGCAAAUGUUUGUCUGAUUGAUUGUUUGAUGAAUUUUAAGCUUGCUUUUGUUCCAGUGACAAAGGAACCAUAACAAGAGGUGGUCAUCUUCACACUAACACUGAAUUCAGCCCUCCAGCUACCAUCUGGGGCUUGCUAGUGUAAAGUAUUUUGCCUCUUGUGAAUGUGGUCAGUUGGAGAGACUCUUCAUGGGUGGAAAUUGGAGUAUUUUGGGCAGAGGGAGCUGUCUGUUGGUUGUUGUUGAAGAGACAGGCACAGCUGUAGUUUCAUCUCAUUUAUAAUCUGUCUAGCAAAUGCAACCUCAUUUAUUUAUAACCCCUAAUGCA